rnacentral:rRNA from 1 species
ACUCCUACGGGAGGCAGCAGUGGGGAAUAUUGCACAAUGGGGGAAACCCUGAUGCAGCCAUGCCGCGUGUGUGAAGAAGGCCUUCGGGUUGUAAAGCACUUUUCAGUAGGGAGGAAGGUAGUGUAGUUAACACCUGCACUUAUUUGACGUUACCUACAGAAGAAGCACCGGCUAAACUCCGUGCCAGCAGCCGCGGUAAUACGGAGGGUGCGAGCGUUAAAUCGGAAUUACUGGGCGUAAAGCGCAUGCAGGCGGCCUGUUAAGUCAGAUGUGAAAGCCCGGGGCUUAACCUCGGAAUUGCAUUUGAAACUGGCAGGCUAGAGUCUUGUAGAGGGGGGUAGAAUUUCAGGUGUAGCGGUGAAAUGCGUAGAGAUCUGAAGGAAUUACCAGUGGCGAAGGCGGCCCCCUGGACAAAGACUGACGCUCAGAUGCGAAAGC